UGGUGCAGGGGAACGCAAUGACUGGU
rnacentral:piRNA from 1 species